CGGGCCGAGGGGUCCCGCGGCCGGCCCGGGCCCCCGCGCCUCCGCCCGAGGCCCCCUGGACACACGGGGUCCCCCCCCUGCUUCCCCCGGGGGCGGCGGGGCGACGGCGGGGGCCCGCGGCGGCGCUCGGGCGGGCGGACUACUUGACGUGUCGGUGCGGCGAAUUUAUUUCACUUUGCCUAAGGAACGGGGUGUGCUGCGGCGCCCAUUGCCUAGGGAAAAAACCCGGAUGUAAAGUCAACCCAAAGAAGAUUUGAAGUCUGUCUGGAAACCUGAGGGUCCCACUUCUCUAUGGAGGCAGGGAGAACAAGUUGAUGCAUCUAUAUGAGUGAAACCCUGUGAUACAAUGUAACAUCCCAAAUUCCAACCAAGUGAAAGCAGCAUUCAACAGUAGUGUGCAACCUUCUAUCUUCCAAGUUAAAUCAGGCCACAGUAGGACUUCCCCUUUUUACAAAUGUCACAGAAUGAAGCUCUAAAGAGUGAUUUCCAGCUUCCAUUCAAGUGAAAAGUUCAGCUCCCAACAGGACUAGGCAACAUCCACAAAGCAAACCAAGCAAGACCCACGGGACCAAGGCAUUAUUGGGCCUCUCAGGAUGCAGGACACCGCUCCUCCUUGCCUCCAAUCAGAGAAGCUUAAAAAGUGCAGGUUACUCCACAGACCACCAGAAGGUACAGGCAUGGAGAAAAGAGACGCUGCCACUUACACAGAGAAUAAGAGGUCGGCCCACCCAAAGUGACUGCCUAGGCUCCUGUCCAUGCACUUGUCAAAGGCCAGCCCAGCCCAUGGAGGGGGAAAGAAUUGGAGAGGAUCAGCUUUUUAUUUUCAUGUAAAAAGCACUUGCCCCCGGGUUAUAAAUGUUAUUGCAUUUGUGUAGCACUUUACUGCUGCCCUCAGCUUGCAAGCAUCACAGGAUCCCAGUGGCAGUACUUUUAUAACCCUUGAUCAAUAGCUUAUUUCUAUCGCCUUCAGUCCCAGCUGCCAAUCCGUUCUGUAUAAUGUGGAAGGCAGACUUCGCUGCUCUCCAGCUGUACAUGUUAUGAAUGUAAACUCUACGAGUAACAUAUGUAUGUGUGUGUGUGCAUUGAGUGGGGGACAUGGGAAUUUUGAACAAGGAAUGACAAAAAUGGGCCCCUUGUUCUUGGAGACUACCACAAAGCUGGGGGGUUUACUAAUGAAUCUCUCUCUCUCUCUCUCUCUCUCUCUCUCUCUCUCUCUCUCUCUCUCU